GCAGUCGAACGAGGUAGCAAUACCUAGUGGCGCACGGGUGAGUAACGCGUGGAUAAUCUGCCCUUCACUGGGGAAUAACUAAUCGAAAGGUUAGCUAAUACCGCAUGAGGCCACAGUUUCUGAGGAAGCAGUGGUUAAAGAUUUAUUGGUGAAGGAUGAGUCUGCGUGGGAUUAGCUAGUUGGUGAGGUAAUGGCUCACCAAGGCUACGAUCUCUAACAGGUCUGAGAGGAUGACCUGUCACACUGGAACUGAGACACGGUCCAGACUCCUACGGGAGGCAGCAGUAGGGAAUAUUGCGCAAUGGACGAAAGUCUGCCGCAGCGACGCCGCGUGAGUGAUGAAGGCCUUAGGGUCGUAAAGCUCUGUUGCAGGGGAAGAAAAAAAUGACGGUACCCUGCGAGAAAGGAUCGGCUAACUUCGUGCCAGCAGCCGCGGUAAGACGAGGGAUCCUAGCGUUGUUCGGAAUCAUUGGGCGUAAAGCGCAUGUAGGCUGCCAUUCAAGUCAGUUGUGAAAGCCCCGGGCUCAACCCGGGAAGUGCUUCUGAUACUGUUUGGCUUGAGUACUAGAGAGGAUAGUAGAAUUCCAGGUGUAGUGGUGAAAUACGUAGAUAUCUGGAGGAAUACCGGUGG
rnacentral:rRNA from 1 species